rnacentral:rRNA from 1 species
GAUGAACGCUGGCGGCGUGCCUAAUACAUGCAAGUCGAGCGAACAGACGAGGAGCUUGCUCCCCUGACGUUAGCGGCGGACGGGUGAGUAACACGUGGAUAACCUACCUAUAAGACUGGGAUAACUUCGGGAAACCGGAGCUAAUACCGGAUAAUAUAUUGAACCGCAUGGUUCAAUAGUGAAAGACGGUCUUGCUGUCACUUAUAGAUGGCUCCGCGCCGCAUUAGCUAGUUGGUAAGGUAAAGGCUUACCAAGGCAACGAUGCAUAGCCGACCUGAGAGGGUGAUCGGCCACACUGGAACUGAGACACGGUCCAGACUCCUACGGGAGGCAGCAGUAGGGAAUCUUCCGCAAUGCGCGAAAGCCUGACGGAGCAACGCCGCGUGAGUGAUGAAGGACUUCGGAUCGUAAAACUCUGUUAUUAGGGAAGAACAAAUGUGUAAGUAACUAUGCACAUCUUGACGGUACCUAAUCAGAAAGCCACGGCUAACUACGUG